rnacentral:tRNA from 1 species
UCCCUGGUGGCUCAGAUGGUAAAGCGUCUGCCUGCAAUGCGGGGGACCCGGGUUCGAUCCCUGGGUUGGGAA